UAAUAAUACAAGAUGUUAUUACUAGCAAUAUACUCACAUAUUGGUAGUAAUAGCCUAUUAUAUUAUAGGAUGGAGAGAGUACCUUUCACUGCCAUCAUAUAUAUAUUAGAAGAGCUACAUUGCAAUUUCACCACAUGAUUUUACAAUGUGAUUGAACUAUCUCAAUAUGAGGUCAUGGGUUCGAGUCCCGGAAAUAACCUCUCGCAGAAAUGUAGGGACAGAUUGCGUACAAAAGACCCAAAGUGGUCGAACCCUUCCCCAGACCUUGCGCAAGCGGGAGUUACGUGCAUUGAGCUGUCCUUAAUUGCUGUUGUCAAAGACCUUCGAUUUUAUACCGUGUUGAUCUUUCUGUCGGACUUUCUGACCCUCCUAGGCGCACCCUGGGGAAGUCUGUUUUAAACCUUGAAUUUGUAUGGGUGGUCGAAAUCAAACCCCAACCUCUCAAUCCUUGAGAUCCCCAUCUGCCACGCCUAUAUUGCGUGGCACAUGACCUUAUCGCUUGCCUCUUCAUAAAGGAUCUUUGCCGCCCACCUUAGGGUCACAUCACAGCGCCACCACCGACGUGAAAGGCGUGCCCCUUCUUCAUGAGUCUCAAAUGCGCGCCUCUCCGACUGUCGCGGUCGCCCAGCACGUUGCUCUGGCCUUUUUCGAGUUUCGCAUAUGUUGUCGCCUCCCUGAGCCAACGCUGGUGACCGGAGACAAACCCUCGGAAUCAUCGUCAGACCACAUCCAAUGGCAUGCCUGAAUUAGUGACCAAUGGCCUCCCCGGUGCCACGUGUGCAAUCCCUGUUUGGAAACUGACGUAAACCCUAGUCUCCCCGGUGCCACGUGUGCAAUCCCUGUUUGGAAACUGACGUAAACCCUAGUCUCCCCGGUGCCACGUGUGCAAUCCCUGUUUGGAAACUGACGUAAACCCUAGUCUCCCCGGUGCCACAUAUGCAAUCCUUGUUUGGAAACUGACGUAAACCCUAGUCUCCCCGGUGCCACAUAUGCAAUCCUUGUUUGGAAACUGACGUAAGCCCGGACUCCCCGGUACCACGUAUGCAAUCCUUGUUUGGAAACUGACGUAAGCCAUGGACUCCCCGGUGCCACAUAUGCAAUCCUUGUUUGAAAACAGACUUAGCCGUGCUACUGACCGGGAUUGUCGAUUUCCGGGAUUGAGAGGUUAGGGUUUGAUUCCAACAAGGCGUAAAAGUUCGAGGUUUAUUUCAUACUAGCCAAACCGGCUGGGCCCACAGGUCAGUGUGGCCAAACCGUGUGGCCCCACCGGUCAGCGAGCGGCGCACGGGGCCCACCAUCCAUCCACGUGAACCGCACCAGCCACCCAGAAAAAACCGAACCCACCACCGCCCCUGGCGGCCUCGCUCGCCCUUAUCCCCCCGCCCGCCUCCACACCCGCCGCCGCCGCCAUUUACUCCACCACCACUCCCUCCCUCCCUCUUUCCCCCAGAUCCAGAUCUGAACCGCCGCCCGCCGCCGAGGGGCCAUCCGAUGGAGGCGAGGAAGAGCGCGCCGGGGCAGCCCUGGUCGGACGGCGAGACCAUGCACCUCAUCGACGUCUACGAGGACCGCUGGACCAGGCUGCGCCGGGGCCAGCUCAAGGCGCACCAGUGGGAGGACGUGGCCGCCGACGUCACCCGCCGCUGCGGCGGCCAGCGCAAGACCGGCACCCAGUGCCGCCACAAGCUCGAGAAGCUCCGCAAGCGCUACCGCACCGAGGCCGCCCGCCCCGUCACCUCCCUCUGGCCCUUCUUCCGCCGCAUGGAGCGCCUCGAGCGCGGCCCCGUCCCCGUCUCCACCAACUCCUUCCCCGCCUCCCCGCCCGCCUCCGACGACGACCAAGACCAAGACCAGGACCACGACCUGGACCUGGACCUGGACCAGGAGGAGGAAGAAGAAGAUGAAGAAGAGGAAGAGGAUGGCGAGGAGGACCAAGAAGAGGAGGAGGAGGAGCAAUUGCUCGUCGCCAGAAACAGGAGCAUCAACGGCCUCGUGCGCGACGCCGGCGGGUUCAGGGGCCAUCAGCAGCAGCAGCAGCGGCGGCGCCCGUCGCCGCCUGCUGUCACGCUGUCCACCGCGCCUCCACGCAAGAGGGUCUCCUAUGAGGCCGCCAUGUUCCAGUCCAAGGCCGCCGCUGCAGACAGGGUCAAGGCUGAGGAGGCUCCCGCCGUGGACCACCACUCCGUCGCAGGCGUGUUGAGGGACAUCGGCGAGGGAAUCAAGCGGCUGGAGAGGCGGAGAAUGGAGGUGCAGUGGGAGAUUGAGCGGGGGUGGAAGGAGACGGAGGCCCGCAGUAAUCAGAUGCUCCAGGACGCCCAGCGGCAGUUACAGGACACUCUCGCCACACUGCCGCCGACGGGGAAGAAGGCCAGGAGGGACCAUGGCAGCAGUGCAGACGGCUUGCAGGAGGCUAGCUAGCGAUUGCUCGAUCUCGAUUGGGGGAUAGGCAGGUUGAAAGCUGUUUAUUUUCUUAUCUGGUGGUAGUGAAGGGAGGCAAAUAGAUUGUUCCUAGUCUUCAUCCUCUGCUCGGGAUGUAUGUAUUUAGUUCUCGUCGUGAACGAUUCUGACCAUUGUUGCUUACUUCGGUACGCAUGGCAAACCAUGCUUCUUACCAGACCAGUUGCAUUCUGUCUCUACUUUGGUUGGUCUUUGCAGUGAUUGAUGUCUUGGACAAUUGCCAUAACUUAAUUGUAUGCCCGUCACCUGAUAUGAGUGAAAAAAUGUGACUUUUUGGGCAGCAUCUCUUAAGAACCUCUUCUUGAUGAUGUGUAGUUUCUUGGCAUUAUUACCAGUGAGCUGCUCAUGUCAUAUGACUGCUCUGCUAUUUGUAUAUGCAUUGAUUUUUUUUUCAGUAUGGUGUGAAGAUUUUCAUCCUAACAUCAUUCAGAGAUACAUGCUACAUUGAAAUUCUCCCAGUCGUUCAAAAAUCAAAUAGAGUUAUAUGUUUGAGUUUUUGGGCCGAGGUGCACUACAACUCGAUAUAUCCGGAAGGAGAGUUGCCCAUCGUGGAGAACAGAAAGAAGAGGUGGUGGCACUUGGAGUUCUAGACUUGUAGUGCUAAAACCAAAAGGGGAAUAGAAGAUUUGAUUUGUUCUUUUGAUCUCAUGGCAGCUUGUCGGAUCGACGGUCGUUUUGUUCGACCAUGUGAUUACGAGGGAUCUGAGGAGCUGCGAUGCCGUAGGACUGAUGAAGAGAUUGACUGACAGUUCGUUUGUACAUAUAUAGCAGUAUCUGCACUGUUGACUGGGUCUGUGAUAUGUGAUGUGAACAUUUGUUGUAGUACUUAUAAUAUAUCUAUAUACAUCACUUAUUUUUCUA